rnacentral:rRNA from 1 species
GGAUGCGAUCAUACCAGCACUAAAGCACCGGAUCCCAUCAGAACUCCGAAGUUAAGCGUUCUUGGGCGAGAGUAGUACUAGGAUGGGUGACCUCUUGGGAAGUCCUCGUGUUGCAUUCC